rnacentral:rRNA from 1 species
GGGGUAACGGCCCACCAAGGCGACGAUGACUAGGGGAUCUGAGAGGAUGACCCCCCACACUGGUACUGAGACACGGACCAGACUCCUACGGGAGGCAGCAGUAAGGAAUAUUGGUCAAUGGAGGCAACUCUGAACCAGCCAUGCCGCGUGCAGGAAGACAGCCCUCUGGGUCGUAAACUGCUUUUAUUCGGGAAUAAACCACAUUACGUGUAAUGUGCUGAAUGUACCGAAGGAAUAAGGAUCGGCUAACUCCGUGCCAGCAGCCGCGGUAAUACGGAGGAUCCAAGCGUUAUCCGGAUUUAUUGGGUUUAAAGGGUGCGUAGGCGGCUUAUUAAGUCAGGGGUGAAAGACGGUGGCUCAACCAUCGCAGUGCCUUUGAUACUGAUGAGCUUGAAUACACUAGAGGUAGGCGGAAUGUGACAAGUAGCGGUGAAAUGCAUAGAUAUGUCACAGAACACCGAUUGCGAAGGCAGCUUACUAUGGUGUGAUUGACGCUGAGGCACGAAAGCGUGGGGAUCAAACAGGAUUAGAUACCCUGGUAGUCCACGCCCUAAACGAUGAAUACUCGCUGUUAGCGAUAUACAGUUAGCGGCUAAGCGAAAGCGUUAAGUAUUCCACCUGGGGAGUACGCCCGCAAGGGUGAAACUCAAAGGAAUUGACGGGGGCCCGCACAAGCGGAGGAGCAUGUGGUUUAAUUCGAUGAUACGCGAGGAACCUUACCCGGGCUUGAAAGUUAGUGAAUCAUUUAGAGAUAGAUGAGUCCGCAAGGACACGAAACUAGGUGCUGCAUGGCUGUCGUCAGCUCGUGCCGUGAGGUGUUGGGUUAAGUCCCGCAACGAGCGCAACCCCUAUGUUUAGUUGCCAGCACGUUAUGGUGGGGACUCUAAACAGACUGCCUGUGCAAACAGAGAGGAAGGAGGGGACGACGUCAAGUCAUCAUGGCCCUUACGUCCGGGGCUACACACGUGCUACAAUGGAUGGUACAGAGGGCAGCAAGCUGGCAACAGCAAGCGAAUCUCAAAAAGCCAUUCACAGUUCGGAUAGAGGUCUGCAACUCGACCUCUUGAAGUUGGAUUCGCUAGUAAUCGCGUAUCAGCAAUGACGCGGUGAAUACGUUCCCGGGCCUUGUACACACCGCCCGUCAAGCCAUGGAAGUUGGGGGUACCUAAAGUAUGUAACCGCAAGGAGCGUCCUAGGGUAAAACCGAUAACUGGGGCUAAGUCGUAACAAGGUA